rnacentral:rRNA from 1 species
UUGAACGCUGGCGGCAGGCCUAACACAUGCAAGUCGAACGGUAACAGAAAGCAGCUUGCUGCUUUGCUGACGAGUGGCGGACGGGUGAGUAAUGUCUGGGAAACUGCCCGAUGGAGGGGGAUAACUACUGGAAACGGUAGCUAAUACCGCAUAACGUCGCAAGACCAAAGAGGGGGACCUUCGGGCCUCUUGCCAUCGGAUGUGCCCAGAUGGGAUUAGCUAGUAGGUGGGGUAACGGCUCACCUAGGCGACGAUCCCUAGCUGGUCUGAGAGGAUGACCAGCCACACUGGAACUGAGACACGGUCCAGACUCCUACGGGAGGCAGCAGUGGGGAAUAUUGCACAAUGGGCGCAAGCCUGAUGCAGCCAUGCCGCGUGUAUGAAGAAGGCCUUCGGGUUGUAAAGUACUUUCAGCGGGGAGGAAGGGAGUAAAGUUAAUACCUUUGCUCAUUGACGUUACCCGCAGAAGAAGCACCGGCUAACUCCGUGCCAGCAGCCGCGGUAAUACGGAGGGUGCAAGCGUUAAUCGGAAUUACUGGGCGUAAAGCGCACGCAGGCGGUUUGUUAAGUCAGAUGUGAAAUCCCCGGGCUCAACCUGGGAACUGCAUCUGAUACUGGCAAGCUUGAGUCUCGUAGAGGGGGGUAGAAUUCCAGGUGUAGCGGUGAAAUGCGUAGAUAUUAGGAGGAACACCAGUGGCGAAGGCGACUUUCUGGUCUGUAACUGACGCUGAUGUGCGAAAGCGUGGGGAUCAAACAGGAUUAGAUACCCUGGUAGUCCACGCCGUAAACGAUGUCGACUUGGAGGUUGUGCCCUUGAGGCGUGGCUUCCGGAGCUAACGCGUUAAGUCGACCGCCUGGGGAGUACGGCCGCAAGGUUAAAACUCAAAUGAAUUGACGGGGGCCCGCACAAGCGGUGGAGCAUGUGGUUUAAUUCGAUGCAACGCGAAGAACCUUACCUGGUCUUGACAUCCACGGAAGUUUUCAGAGAUGAGAAUGUGCCUUCGGGAACCGUGAGACAGGUGCUGCAUGGCUGUCGUCAGCUCGUGUUGUGAAAUGUUGGGUUAAGUCCCGCAACGAGCGCAACCCUUAUCCUUUGUUGCCAGCGGUCCGGCCGGGAACUCAAAGGAGACUGCCAGUGAUAAACUGGAGGAAGGUGGGGAUGACGUCAAGUCAUCAUGGCCCUUACGACCAGGGCUACACACGUGCUACAAUGGCGCAUACAAAGAGAAGCGACCUCGCGAGAGCAAGCGGACCUCAUAAAGUGCGUCGUAGUCCGGAUUGGAGUCUGCAACUCGACUCCAUGAAGUCGGAAUCGCUAGUAAUCGUGGAUCAGAAUGCCACGGUGAAUACGUUCCCGGGCCUUGUACACACCGCCCGUCACACCAUGGGAGUGGGUUGCAAAAGAAGUAGGUAGCUUAACCUUCGGGAGGGCGCUUACCACUUUGUGAUUCAUGACUGGGGUG